rnacentral:rRNA from 1 species
ACCUUUUGGUUCGGAACAACUGAGGGAAACUUCAGCUAAUACCGGAUAAGCCCUUACGGGGAAAGAUUUAUCGCCGAAAGAUCGGCCCGCGUCUGAUUAGCUAGUUGGUGAGGUAAUGGCUCACCAAGGCGACGAUCAGUAGCUGGUCUGAGAGGAUGAUCAGCCACAUUGGGACUGAGACACGGCCCAAACUCCUACGGGAGGCAGCAGUGGGGAAUAUUGGACAAUGGGCGCAAGCCUGAUCCAGCCAUGCCGCGUGAGUGAUGAAGGCCCUAGGGUUGUAAAGCUCUUUUGUGCGGGAAGAUAAUGACGGUACCGCAAGAAUAAGCCCCGGCUAACUUCGUGCCAGCAGCCGCGGUAAUACGAAGGGGGCUAGCGUUGCUCGGAAUCACUGGGCGUAAAGGGUGCGUAGGCGGGUCUUUAAGUCAGGGGUGAAAUCCUGGAGCUCAACUCCAGAACUGCCUUUGAUACUGAAGAUCUUGAGUUCGGGAGAGGUGAGUGGAACUGCGAGUGUAGAGGUGAAAUUCGUAGAUAUUCGCAAGAACACCAGUGGCGAAGGCGGCUCACUGGCCCGAUACUGACGCUGAGGCACGAAAGCGUGGGGAGCAAACAGGAUUAGAUACCCUGGUAGUCCACGCCGUA